rnacentral:rRNA from 1 species
CUUCCGUAGGGUGAACCUGCGGAAGGAUCAUUACCGAGUGCGGGUCCUUUGGGCCCAACCUCCCAUCCGUGUCUAUUGUACCCUGUUGCUUCGGCGGGCCCGCCGCUUGUCGGCCGCCGGGGGGGCGCCUCUGCCCCCCGGGCCCGUGCCCGCCGGAGACCCCAACACGAACACUGUCUGAAAGCGUGCAGUCUGAGUUGAUUGAAUGCAAUCAGUUAAAACUUUCAACAAUGGAUCUCUUGGUUCCGGCAUCGAUGAAGAACGCAGCGAAAUGCGAUAACUAAUGUGAAUUGCAGAAUUCAGUGAAUCAUCGAGUCUUUGAACGCACAUUGCGCCCCCUGGUAUUCCGGGGGGCAUGCCUGUCCGAGCGUCAUUGCUGCCCUCAAGCCCGGCUUGUGUGUUGGGUCGCCGUCCCCCUCUCCGGGGGGACGGGCCCGAAAGGCAGCGGCGGCACCGCGUCCGAUCCUCGAGCGUAUGGGGCUUUGUCACAUGCUCUGUAGGAUUGGCCGGCGCCUGCCGACGUUUUCCAACCAUUCUUUCCAGGUGACCUCGGAUCAGGUACGAAGCAAGGUU